rnacentral:tRNA from 1 species
GUGGCUGUAGCUCAGUGGUAGAGUACUUGCCUAGCAUGUGUGAGGCACUGGGUUCAAUCCUCAGCACCACA